UACGGGGGGGGCAAGCGUUGUUCGGAAUUACUGGGCGUAAAGGGUUCGUAGGUGGCUUGCUAAGUCAGACGUGAAAUCCCUCAGCUCAACUGGGGAACUGCGUCUGAGACUGGCGAGCUUGAGUGCAGGAGAGGAAUGCGGAAUUCCAGGUGUAGCGGUGAAAUGCGUAGAUAUCUGGAGGAACACCGGUGGCGAAGGCGGCGUUCUGGACUGCAACUGACACUGAGGAACGAAGGCCAGGGGAGCAAACGGG
rnacentral:rRNA from 1 species